rnacentral:rRNA from 1 species
UUCGGAACCGUGAGACAGGUGCUGCAUGGCUGUCGUCAGCUCGUGUCGUGAGAUGUUGGGUUAAGUCCCGCAACGAGCGCAACCCUUAUCCCUAGUUGCCAUCAGGUAAAGCUGGGAACUCUGGGGAGACUGCCGGUGAUAAACCGGAGGAAGGCGGGGAUGACGUCAAGUCCUCAUGGCCCUUACAUCCCGGGCUACACACGUGCUACAAUGGCAGGUACAGGAGGGCUGCGAGCCGCGAGGUGGAAGCCGAAAUCCCAGAAACCUGUCUCAGUCCGGAUUGAAGUCUGCAACUCGACUUCAUGAAGGCGGAAUCGCUAGUAACCGCGAAUCAGCAGGUCGCGGUGAAUACGUUCCCGGGCCUU